UACGGAGGGGGCUAGCGUUGUUCGGAAUUACUGGGCGUAAAGCGCGCGUAGGCGGACCUGCAAGUCGGGGGUGAAAGCCCGAGGCUCAACCUCGGAACUGCCUUCGAUACUGCGGGUCUCGAGUCCGGGAGAGGUGAGUGGAAUUCCUAGUGUAGAGGUGAAAUUCGUAGAUAUUAGGAAGAACACCAGUGGCGAAGGCGGCUCACUGGCCCGGUACUGACGCUGAGGCGCGAAAGUGUGGGGAGCGAACCGG
rnacentral:rRNA from 1 species